GAUGAACGCUGGCGGCGUGCCUAAUACAUGCAAGUCGAGCGAACAGACGAGGAGCUUGCUCCUCUUACGUUAGCGGCGGACGGGUGAGUAACACGUGGAUACCCUACCUAUAAGACUGGGAUAACUUCGGGAAACCGGAGCUAAUACCGGAUAAUAUAUUGAACCGCAUGGUUCAAUAGUGAAAGACGGUUUUGCUGUCACUUAUAGAUGGAUCCGCGCCGCAUUAGCUAGUUGGUAAGGUAACGGCUUACAAAGGGAACGAUGCGUAGCCGACCUGAUAGGGUGAUCGGCCACACGGGAACUGAGACACGGUCCAAACUCCUACGGGAGGCAGCAGUAGGGAAUCUUCCGCAAUGGGCGAAAGCCUGACGGAGCAACGCCGCGUGAGUGAUGAAGGUCUUCGGAUCGUAAAACUCUGUUAUUAGGGAAGAACAAAUGUGUAAGUAACUAUGCACGUCUUGACGGUACCUAAUCAGAAAGCCACGGCUAACUACGUG
rnacentral:rRNA from 1 species